AAGAUGGCAUCAUGAGUCCGCAUGUUCACAUGAUUAAAGGUAUUCCGGUAGACGAUGGGGAUGCGUUCCAUUAGAUAGUAGGCGGGGUAACGGCCCACCUAGUCUUCGAUGGAUAGGGGUUCUGAGAGGAAGGUCCCCCACAUUGGAACUGAGACACGGUCCAAACUCCUACGGGAGGCAGCAGUGAGGAAUAUUGGUCAAUGGGCGAGAGCCUGAACCAGCCAAGUAGCGUGAAGGAUGACUGCCCUAUGGGUUGUAAACUUCUUUUAUAAAGGAAUAAAGUCGGGUAUGGAUACCCGUUUGCAUGUACUUUAUGAAUAAGGAUCGGCUAACUCCGUGCCAGCAGCCGCGGUAAUACGGAGGAUCCGAGCGUUAUCCGGAUUUAUUGGGUUUAAAGGGAGCGUAGAUGGAUGUUUAAGUCAGUUGUGAAAGUUUGCGGCUCAACCGUAAAAUUGCAGUUGAUACUGGAUAUCUUGAGUGCAGUUGAGGCAGGCGGAAUUCGUGGUGUAGCGGUGAAAUGCUUAGAUAUCACGAAGAACUCCGAUUGCGAAGGCAGCCUGCUAAGCUGCAACUGACAUUG
rnacentral:rRNA from 1 species